AUUGAACGCUGGCGGCAGGCUUAACACAUGCAAGUCGAGCGGGGUGAUGGUGCUUGCACUAUCACUUAGCGGCGGACGGGUGAGUAAUGCUUAGGAAUCUGCCUAUUAGUGGGGGACAACAUCUCGAAAGGGAUGCUAAUACCGCAUACGUCCUACGGGAGAAAGCAGGGGAUCACUUGUGACCUUGCGCUAAUAGAUGAGCCUAAGUCGGAGUAGCUAGUUGGUGGGGUAAAGGCCUACCAAGGCGACGAUCUGUAGCGGGUCUGAGAGGAUGAUCCGCGACACUGGGACGGAGAAACGGCCCAGACUCCUACGGGAGGCAGCAGUGGGGAAUAUUGGACAAUGGGGGGAACCCUGAUCCAGCCAUGCCGCGUGUGUGAAGAAGGCCUUAUGGUUGUAAAGCACUUUAAGCGAGGAGGAGGCUCUUUUGGUUAAUACCCAAGAUGAGUGGACGUUACUCGCAGAAUAAGCACCGGCUAACUCUGUGCCAGCAGCCGCGGUAA
rnacentral:rRNA from 1 species